rnacentral:rRNA from 1 species
CCUACGGGUGGCAGCAGUGGGGAAUAUUGGACAAUGGGCGAAAGCCUGAUCCAGCCAUGCCGCGUGUGUGAAGAAGGCCUUCGGGUUGUAAAGCACUUUCAGUGGGGAAGAAAGCCUUGGGGCUAAUACCCUCGAGGAAGGACAUCACCCACAGAAGAAGCACCGGCUAACUCCGUGCCAGCAGCCGCGGUAAUACGGAGGGUGCGAGCGUUAAUCGGAAUUACUGGGCGUAAAGCGCGCGUAGGCGGUCUGAUAAGCCGGUUUGUGAAAGCCCCGGGCUCAACCUGGGAACGGCAUCCGGAACUGUCAGGCUAGAGUGCAGGAGAGGAAGGUAGAAUUCCCGGUGUAGCGGUGAAAUGCGUAGAGAUCGGGAGGAAUACCAGUGGCGAAGGCGGCCUUCUGGACUGACACUGACGCUGAGGUGCGAAAGCGUGGGUAGCAAACAGGAUUAGAUACCCCAGUAGUC